GUCUGUAUGGUUGUUAUAUAGAGUCUGACCUGCCCACUGAUAUAAAUUAAAGGGCCGCGGUAUUUUGACCGUGCGAAGGUAGCAUAAUCAUUAGUCUUUUAAUUGAAGGCUUGUAUGAAUGGUUGGACAAAAAGUGAGCUGUCUCUGCCGUAGUUUUUGAAUUUAACUUUUAAGUGAAAAGGCUUAAAUAAUCUGGGGGGACGAUAAGACCCUAUAAAGCUUUACAAUAAAAGGGAUGUGGUGUAAUUUGUUAGUUUAACUUAAUUCAUCCUAAGAUUGUUUCGUUGGGGCGACGAGAAUAUAAUUUAAAUAACUGUUCUUUCGCGAAGGGCAACAAUAUUGGUUGGGCGAAAAUUGAUCCUUUAUUAGAGAUUAAAAGAUUAAGUUACUUUAGGGAUAACAGCGUAAUCUUCCUUAAGAGUUCAUAUCGACAGGAAGGGUUGCGACCUCGAUGUUGAAUUAAGGGGUCCUUGUGGUGCAGCAGUUGCAAAGGAGGGUCUGUUCGACCUUUAAAUCCUU
rnacentral:rRNA from 1 species